AAAAUUGGCUACAACCCUGACACAGUAGCAUUUGUGCCAAUUUCUGGUUGGAAUGGUGACAACAUGCUGGAGCCAAGUGCUAAUAUGCCUUGGUUCAAGGGAUGGAAAGCCACCCAUAAGGGCGGCAAUGCCAGUGGAACCACACUGCUCGAGGCUCUUGACCGCAUCCUACCACCAACUCGUCUAACUGACAAACCCUUGCACCUGCCUCUCCAGGAUGUCUACAAAAUGGGUGGUAUUGGUACUGUUCUUGUUGACCGAAUGGAGACUGGUGUUCUCAAACCCGGUAUGGUGGUCACUUUUGCUCCUGUCAGUGUUACAACUGAAAUAAAUUGUGUUGAAAUGCACCAUGAAGCUUUGAGUGAAGCUCUUCCUGGGCACAAUGUGGGCUUCAAUGUCAAGAACAUGUCUAUCAAGGAGGUUCAUCAUAGCAAUGAUGCUGGUGACAGCAAAAAAAAACCCACCAAUGGAAGCAGCUGGCUUCCCUGCUCAGGUGAUUAUCCUGAACCAUCCAGGCCAAAUCAGUGCAGGCUAUGCCCCUGUACUGGAUUGCCACACGGCUCACAUUGCAUGCAAGUUUGCUAAGCUGAAGGAAAAGAUUGAUCGCCAUUCUGGUAAAAAUUUGGAAGAUGGCCCUAAAUUCUUGAAAUCUGGUGAUGCUGCCAUUGUUGAUAUGGUUCCUAGAUAGCUCAUGUGUAUUGAGAACUUCUCAGACUAUUCACCUCUGGGUCGCUUUGCUGUUCGUGAUAUGAGACAGACAGUUGCCAUGGGUGUCAUCAAAGCAGUGGACAAGAAGGCUGCUGGAGCUGGCAAGGUCACCAACUCUGCCCAGAAAGCUCAGAAGGCUAAAUGA